ACGGAAGGCAGCAGUGAGGAAUAUUGGUCAAUGGGCGAGAGCCUGAACCAGCCAAGUCGCGUGAAGGAUGAAGGUUCUAUGGAUUGUAAACUUCUUUUGUUCGAGGGUAAAGUGAGGGAUGCGUCCCUUAUUGCAAGUAUCGAACGAAUAAGCAUCGGCUAACUCCGUGCCAGCAGCCGCGGUAAUACGGAGGAUGCGAGCGUUAUCCGGAUUUAUUGGGUUUAAAGGGUGCGUAGGCGGGAUGUUAAGUCAGCGGUGAAAGCGUGUAGCUAAACUAUACCAAGCCGUUGAAACUGGCGUUCUUGAGUGUAAACGAGGUAGGCGGAAUGUGACGUGUAGCGGUGAAAUGCUUAGAUAUGUCACAGAACCCCGAUUGCGAAGGCAGCUUACCAGCAUACAACUGACGCUGAGGCACGAAAGUGCGGGGAUCAAACAGGAUUAGAUACCCUGGUA
rnacentral:rRNA from 1 species